AGAGUUUGAUCCUGGCUCAGGAUGAACGCUGACAGAAUGCUUAACACAUGCAAGUCUACUUGAACUUCGGUUUGGGUGGCGGACGGGUGAGUAACGCGUAAAGAACUUGCCUCACAGUUUGGGACAACAUUUGGAAACGAAUGCUAAUACCGAAUAUUAUGAUCGAAUGGCAUCAUUUGAUUAUGAAAGCUAUAUGCGCUGUGAGAGAGCUUUGCGUCCCAUUAGCUAGUUGGAGAGGUAACGGCUCACCAAGGCGAUGAUGGGUAGCCGGCCUGAGAGGGUGAACGGCCACAAGGGGACUGAGACACGGCCCUUACUCCUACGGGAGGCAGCAGUGGGGAAUAUUGGACAAUGGACCAAAAGUCUGAUCCAGCAAUUCUGUGUGCACGAUGAAGUUUUUCGGAAUGUAAAGUGCUUUCAGUUGGGAAGAAGAAAGUGACGGUACCAACAGAAGAAGUGACGGCUAAAUACGUGCCAGCAGCCGCGGUAAUACGUAUGUCACAAGCGUUAUCCGGAUUUAUUGGGCGUAAAGCGCGUCUAGGCGGUUAAUUAAGUCUGAUGUGAAAAUGCGGAGCUCAACUCCGUAUUGCGUUGGAAACUGGUUAACUAGAGUACUGGAGAGGUAAGCGGAACUACAAGUGUAGAGGUGAAAUUCGUAGAUAUUUGUAGGAAUGCCGAUGGGGAAGCCAGCUUACUGGACAGAUACUGACGCUAAAGCGCGAAAGCGUGGGUAGCAAACAGGAUUAGAUACCCUGGUAGUCCACGCCGUAAACGAUGAGUGCUAAGUGUUGGUCUCAUAAGAGAUCAGUGCUGCAGCUAACGCAUUAAGCACUCCGCCUGGGGAGUACGACCGCAAGGUUGAAACUCAAAGGAAUUGACGGGGACCCGCACAAGCGGUGGAGCAUGUGGUUUAAUUCGACGCAACGCGAGGAACCUUACCAGCGUUUGACAUCUUAGGAAUGACGUAGAGAUAUGUCAGUGUCCCUUCGGGGAAACCUAAAGACAGGUGGUGCAUGGCUGUCGUCAGCUCGUGUCGUGAGAUGUUGGGUUAAGUCCCGCAACGAGCGCAACCC
rnacentral:rRNA from 1 species